rnacentral:rRNA from 1 species
UCCAGACUCCUACGGGAGGCAGCAGUGGGGAAUAUUGGGCAAUGGGCGCAAGCCUGACCCAGCAACGCCGCGUGAAGGAAGAAGGCUUUCGGGUUGUAAACUUCUUUUGUCAGGGAAGAGUAGAAGACGGUACCUGACGAAUAAGCCACGGCUAACUACGUGCCAGCAGCCGCGGUAAUACGUAGGUGGCAAGCGUUGUCCGGAUUUACUGGAUGUAAAGGGCGUGUAGGUGGGCGCUUAAGUCAGGUGUGAAAACUCCGGGCUCAACCUGGAGACUGCACUUGAAACUGGGUGUCUUGAGGGCAGGAGAGGAAAGUGGAAUUCCUAGUGUAGCGGUGAAAUGCGUAGAUAUUAGGAGGAACACCAGUGGCGAAGGCGACUUUCUGGACUGUACCUGACGCUGAGGCGCGAAAGCGUGGGUAGCGAACGGGAUUAGAUACCCCCGUA